GACGAACGCUGGCGGCGUGCCUAAUACAUGCAAGUCGAGCGCAGGGGGGACGGGUGAGUAACACGUGGAUAACCUCCUUUACGUCUGGGAUAACGUGGGGUAACCGGAGCUAAACCGGAUACUCAUGGAUGGCUGCGCGGUGCAUUAGCUAGUUGGUAAGGUAACGGCUUACCAAGGGCACGAUGCAUAGCCGACCUGAGAGGGUGAUCGGCCACACUGGAACUGAGACACGGUCCAGACUCCUACGGGAGGCAGCAGUAGGGAAUCUUCCGCAAUGGGCGAAAGCCUGACCGAGCAACGCCGCGUGAGUGAUGAAGGUCUUCGGAUCGUAAAACUCUGUUAUUAGGGAAGCGGUACCUAAUCAGAAAGCCACGGCUAACUACGUGCCAGCAGCCGCGGUAAUUC
rnacentral:rRNA from 1 species